UAGCGGUGACAAAUCGUCAAUUGGCCCGUUGAACCAAACCGCAACGCCCUCGGAAGUGGCACGGCAAGUCGGCGGCGCGAGUACGUCGAGCCGCCGAGGCCGCGCGCCCCAACCACCACCAUCUCCGGGGACAUGCAUUCACCCACCGGUUGCCACGACCUUGCCCGCCUCUACUCUGUUCGUCCGCCGGACAGCCCCCUCCCCUCCUAGUUCCAGCGGUCCACCGAGCUCUCUGAAGUUUGCGGUGGGUUUCGCACGGGCAGGUUUGGUGGGAUGAUGGAGCGGAUGCGGCGGUCGUCGUGCUCGAUCGAUCGCGUCCCUAGCCGUCUCGGGGAGUGGAGUUGAGCCUCACUGUUCCCGUGCCAGCUCAGCUCUUGCCUUUGAACUAUACAAUGGAAGGCACUGCACAUCCAGUCGAUUGUGCCUGUCCAUGGUGUAUGUGCACUCUUGUGCAUGGAUAUGUUUGUACAUCUGCACAGUGCCGAACUGCUAAUAAUGAUUACUUGAGUAGAGGAUAGUGAUCCCAUCGCAUAUGUUGUUUCUGAAUGGAGUUGUCAUAUUAGGUCUUUUCAUUGUAGUACUCUUGGUGGACCCUUCCAGUAAACUUUUUCCAUGGAAUCUGGUUUUGACUUUUUGAACUCUAUCAGAUAAGGGUGAGAAAAUUGUGCCCGUGGUCAUAAUCAUGGAUGAUUCCUAGAUAAUAAGGUUUCCUAUACAGAACUGUUUUACAUUAUACUGGAUAAACUAAAAGCAAACAUCGCAAACCCUGUAUAUCUUCAGGAGCUACAGACUGCAAAUUGCUGAUGCAGCACCACAGGUGGCACUGUAUAGUUUGAUUGCUGGCAAGGCAUCACUAUGGAGCUCAGGAAUUCCCUCUCAACUUCCUCAGAUGCAUUUCUUCUGAGCAAGCACAUCAUGUACUCCAUUGCUGCUGCAUCACAAGGCAGUGUGAUCCUGCCAUCACCUGUGAAUCUAAACUCCUCCCGGGACCUCCUCAGUAGCUCACUGAAGACUGUUGUGCCGAGGUAGACCAACAGGACCUCGAAUCGCCUCCCAUCCGCUGUGUACACGGCACAGUGGCCCUUGUUAGCGACUGGCGAAGUCGUGCAGCACGCAUCAUC